rnacentral:rRNA from 1 species
GAUGAACGCUGGCGGCGUGCCUAAUACAUGCAAGUCGAGCGAACAGACGAGGAGCUUGCUCCUCUGACGUUAGCGGCGGACGGGUGAGUAACACGUGGAUAACCUACCUAUAAGACUGGGAUAACUUCGGGAAACCGGAGCUAAUACCGGAUAAUAUAUUGAACCGCAUGGUUCAAUAGUGAAAGACGGUUUUGCUGUCACUUAUAGAUGGAUCCGCGCCGCAUUAGCUAGUUGGUAAGGUAACGGCUUACCAAGGCAACGAGGCGUAGCCGACCUGAGGGGAUGAUCGGCCACACUGGAACGGAGACGCGGUCCAGACUCCUACGGGAGGCAGCAGUAGGGAAUCUUCCGCAAUGGGCGAAAGCCUGACGGAGCAACGCCGCGUGAGUGAUGAAGGGCUUCGGAUCGUAAAACUCUGUUAUUAGGGAAGAACAAAUGUGUAAGUAACUAUGCACGUCUUGACGGUACCUAAGCAGAAAGCCACGGCUAACUACGU